GCCUAGUUAGCUUAGUUGGUAGUGCGUCUGCCUUGUAAGCGCUAGGCCGCGGGUUCGAUUCCCGCCCGGUGCG
rfam:Asian citrus Psyllid, Diaphorina citri - Florida Strain, whole genome shotgun sequence.